AUGAGACUUGGUUCCUCUCAACAAAAAGAGUCCAGAUGGCACAAUGUUGGGAGUCCAUCCCUGGGAGCCGAGGCUGCUGACCAGGAGGGUCACUCUGGAAAAGAGAGAGUCUGGUGGCAAAGCUGCGUCAGGCGCUGGCCCACCCUUCUCACUACUCGUUCCCCUCCCAGCUGAGCUGCUAGGCUGGCUGAGCUCUGAGCUCCUUGUGGCUUUCAAAUGCCAUGUUUGACGAGAAGUUCAUUCCAGAGAAGGAGCCAUGAUGAAAGAUGGCUUUGACCCAUUUGAAGACUUUCAGCCAGAAAAUGUGCUUUGUACUAGGAGCUGGAGGAACGGCAUUGCCACCACACCAUACCCCUUCUUGAUGGAAUAGCCACAGCCAGAAACCUCCCUCUGUCCCUUCCCACAUGGUGAGUGGCUCUGGGAACUGGGCUGAAGAGAGGGUUGGGUGAGAGGUUACAGGGAAGGAAUCCUGGCUCUUCCUCUUAGUGGCUCUGUGAUCCGGGGAGGUGGCCUGACACCUGUGGUCCUCGGUUCCUGUCAUCAGUAAAGUGAGGUUAUGAAUGCAGCCUGCCUCCAAGAGUGAGCUGUGAGACUCAGGUGCAUUGGGGCAUGGAACAGCACCUGUGAACAGGUGAGGCCAAGAUGAUGCUGUCUGCCCACAAACUGUUUCAGGCUCUUCAUGGGCUUGCAAACCAAGGGAUCCUUCCAGCUCCCCUCCUUCUAGGUGGGGCCGUAGGCCUGGUUUUGGAUGGUGGCAUGAGGGCCAAAACAACAGAUGCCACUUCCAAGCCUGGCACGUCAACCAGCUUCCUCCCAUUCUCUGUCUCACCUCCUUCUGCUACAGCCUUGAAGGCCGUGUGUUGGGACUGGUGGUUCCCCAAGAUGGAAGGAGCCAGAUCUUUGAACAACUGUGUAUAGCAGAGCCUGCCCCAAUCUCCAACCACAUAAGUAUGUGACAUAAGUGAGCAAUACACUUUUAUUGUGAUAAGCCACUGAGACUUCAGGAUUUCUUUAUAUUUGCAGCCUAGCCUUGCCUACCCAGAUAGAGGUGCCAGAUGGAUGACCUACAAGCCAGAUGUGUUUGGCUUUAAUGAUUAAAAAAUUGGAAUGUAAGUGCUCUACAGAGCAUGCUUGCUCCAGUUUGCCACAACCCUCACCACUCCUUAUUGAUUUUUACCCAGCCACUUCACACAUUUACCUGCCUAAGUCCGUGAAACAUUUGAGUUUGCAAGCCUGAAAAGCUCUGGAUCAAAAUCGCUUUUUGAUUAAUGCUUCGACUCUGUGUUGUCUCAUCCUGUGACAUGCUCAGGAAGAUAGCAGAAACUCAUGCAAGUAAAUUGAGUAGCAUUGUCUAUUGAGGUUGGGUGCAGAUAGCUUAGGUUUAAAACAUGCAUUGUGGGCUGGGCAUGGUGGCUUACGCCUGUAAUCCCAGCACUUUGGGAAGCCGAGGUGGACAGAUCACCUGAGGUCAGGAGUUCAAGACCAGCCUGACUAACAUGGUGAAACCCCGUCUUUACUAAAAAUACAAAAAUUUAGCCAGG
rnacentral:lncRNA from 10 species